UUUGCCCUAGAUUCGGCGGUGUGACUCCACCGACCGAUAAUCCCGUCCGUGUGUCCCCUGUGGGACAGGCUGGCGGUCAGAGCGGCCCUAAUUGGCCCACGCGAUAACGCACGACCUAGGCGCGUCGAAUGACCGUU
rnacentral:sRNA from 1 species